rnacentral:rRNA from 1 species
AUACGGAGGGUGCGAGCGUUAAUCGGAAUUACUGGGCGUAAAGCGUACGUAGGCGGUUGGUUAAGUUAGGUGUGAAAGCCCCGGGCUUAACCUGGGAACUGCAUUUAAAACUGGCGAACUAGAGUUGAGUAGAGGGGAGUGGAAUUUCAGGUGUAGCGGUGAAAUGCGUAGAGAUCUGAAGGAACACCAGUGGCGAAGGCGACUCCCUGGACUCGAACUGACGCUGAGGUACGAAAGCGUGGGUAGCAAACGGGAUUAGAAACCCCAGUAGUCC